rnacentral:rRNA from 1 species
ACGGUCCUAAGGUAGCGAAAUUCCUUGUCAGGUAAGUUCUGACCCGCACGAAAGGAGUAAUGAUUUGGGCACUGUCUCAACAAUGUACCCGGCGAAAUUGUAGUACUAGUGAAGAUGCUAGUUACCUGCGACAAGACGGAAAGACCCCAUGGAGCUUUACUAUAGCCUGAUAUUGGGCUUUGGUAUCUUAUGUACAGGAUAGGUGGGAGACUAUGAGAUUAAGACGCAAGUCUUAAAGGAGUCAACCUUGGAAUACCACCCUUAAGAUAUUAGAGUUCUAACUUGUGAUCAUAAACUGGUCAGAGGACAUUGUCAGGUGGGUAGUUUGACUGGGGCGGUCACCUCCUAAAGAGUAACGGAGGUGCGCAAAGGUUUCCUCGGCACGGUCAGAAAUCGUGCUAAUGAGUGUAAAGGCAUAAGGAAGCUUAACUGAGAGAGAGACAUCUCGACCAGAUACGAAAGUAGGUCUUAGUGAUCCGGUGGUAGAAAAUGGAAUUGCCAUCGCUCAACGGAUAAAAGUUACCCUGGGGAUAACAGGCUUAUCUCCCCCAAGAGUUCACAUCGACGGGGAGGUUUGGCACCUCGAUGUCGGCUCAUCGCAUCCUGGGGCUGAAGUCGGUCCCAAGGGUUGGGCUGUUCGCCCAUUAAAGCGGUACGCGAGCUGGGUUCAGAACGUCGUGAGACAGUUCGGUCCCUAUCUGUCGCAGGCGCAGGAUAUUUGAAAGGAGCUGUCCUUAGUACGAGAGGACCAGGAUGGACAUACCAAUGGUGCAACAGUUGUCACACCAGUGGCACAGCUGUGUAGCUAAGUAUGGAAGGGAUAAACGCUGAAAGCAUCUAAGCGUGAAGCCCCCCUUAAGAUAAGAUAUCCCACAACGUCAAGUUGGUAAGAUUCCAGUUAGACUAACUGGUUGAUAGGUUAGAGGUGUAAGUGUGGUGACACAUUUAGCUGACUAAUACUAAUAAUCGAGGGCUUAACCAA